AACAAAGCAGACACUAGGAAAUAAGAUAUACGCCACAAGGUUAAUACAAAACACAAGGAGAUAAGUACUAUACUAAAAACAUUAGCAAAGUAGUAAGGAAGCAAAAAAAGCAAAGAGUGAGGGCAUGGCACAGAGAAUACAGCAUUUGAACACUGAAAACAGGUUGUGAAGAAUGAGCGGAAUUUAAGAAGGCAAAAAAAUGGCAACAAGUACAAAGAAUUAAAAAUAGUUCCACUUCUGAAAAAGGGGCGGGGGGGGGGGGAAGAUGAAGAAGUUGGUGCAAAGAAGAAAAUAGAAAAUUCACAUCAUAAAAUCUUAAUCAUUUUAGAAGGAAGUAAGGUCAUCUGCUCAACAUGUUUCGAGACUGGGGUUAGCAACCUGACUGGAGUGAAAAAGCAACAGAGAAAAUAAGUCAACUUGGGGAUAAGAAAAGGAUUAGAAAGUAACUAGUAUAAAGCAGGUAGAAAACAAGUAUGUAAUGAUCACCAAAAGCGUGACUUUGGGGGAGAGUGUAGGGCAGGGACAAAGGUAGAAAACUGACCAGUUACACCCAGCAAAGGUCAAGGAGAGGAGGGACUAUGUGGUCUAGUGAGUUCAUGGUUAGAACAUGAACUACAGAGUUCAAGGUUGAAAAGAGGGAAGACAACUAAUGGCCUAGGAGGGACUGGAGGUGACAAUAAGGACAAAAAGCUGCUUAACCAGUUAUGACAGAAAAGAGAAAGAGAAAACAGACCCUUGCAUCGCCAUCUGGCCACAGGGUUUAAGACCUGAGGUAGAGUGGUUCUGAAUGAUGACAAGUAACAUGGUCACAACAUGCAGGCUGCUGUUGUAGAGUAGCAGUGGGGGUCACCGGAGUUAGUGAAGUGUAGUUCCAAAUGUGGCCAUUCUGGCCAGAAAUGAAUGUAACCCUUACUUAACCUCUAUGCACUUCACUUUCCUCAGCUGCAAAUAUUUAAUACAUCCUUUCUAGCCUGACUGAUAGGAAUCUGGCUGGCAGCUAACCCCUCUGCAUUUUACUCAACUACAAAAUGAAAAGCAUAAGAAAGGAGAUGGGAAAUUGAGUUAAAUCAAAGGUUCUCCACCUGACUGAACACUAAAAUCGGGGAUGUUUUAACAAAGAGGCAAAAUUACCUUUGUUCUGUCCCCAAACCCAGUAAUUCUGAUUUAUUUGUCCUGGGGUGGGAUCCAGGCAAUAUUCUUUUUAAGUAGCUCUUCAGGAGAUUUUAAUGUGCAGCCAAGGCUGAAAACUGAACUAGGUAUUCCUACAGGCUGCUUCCCUUUAAAAAUUUUUAAAUUCUAUGAUUCUAUAUAAUUCACUGCCACUCUGUUCAUUUGUUAAAAUAAUAGCUACUAUCGUAUUCCAGGCCCUUCCACAAACAUCGAAUCUUGGGUGACCCUCACGCUAACACUGAGGCAAAUAUUUCUGUGCCCAUUUCACAAAUGAGUCCAGUGAAGCUUACAGAAGUGAAGCGGCUUGUUCAAGAGUCACAAGCCAGCAAGGAGCUGAGUCAGGACAAGGUUUAUUUGUUCCAGUCCAUCCUACAUGCAACUUGCUUUCUUUCCAGUGCAUUCACAGCAACUAUUUGAAUGCCUUUUAUUCUCUUCUCAGGACCUCCCUAAAUUGAGCACAUUAGUUUGUGGUUUACAGUUUGACAGGGGAGAAAGUUAUCUUGGGUGGGGGCAGGAAAUAAACCCCGAAUUCUAUAGGCAUUAUAGAAUUACAAAACACCUUAACCUAGAGAGGUUUUCCAACUUAAAACAGCACUGUGAAAGUGUAUCCAUGAAGUAUUUUUUAUUCAGUUAAGUCAACACAUACAUUGCUUUUAAAUAUUAAGCAGGCAGCUCAUGUACAAAGCUGGUUCAUCAAAGAUAAACAACAACAAAAAAAUUUUUCAUAUACUUUCUAUUAAGCAGGGCAUUCUAAAAAUUCUAAGACAAUUCCGGCAAAACAAUAAUUGAUAGAGCUAUAAUGAGAUUUGUUCCAAGAGCUUAAAUGUAUAAAUAUGACCUUUAAAUUUUUCAAGCAUUAACAAUAUUUCCAUCAAGUUCAAAUACAUUCAAUCACACUUAAAAUUAUGAUUAUAAUCCUUUUGAUGAUCCAUGGCUUCUCUCUCAUACAUCAGUAAUUAUACUUUAAUCCAUUAUCUACUUAGAAAUUUCAUAAAUAUUCAAGUUCUGUACCCCCAGGCGAAAAUUCACUCAGGUACUAAGUUAAAUUCUCAACAAAACAACAACAAAACAUGUGUGUGUGUGUGUGUGUGUGUGUGUGUGUGUGUGUGUGUAUAUAUAAUAAAAACCAAUCUGUGGAUUUAAUGGAGUUGAUGGCAUGUAUUGGGAAAAAGACUACAAAGAAGAUUUAACUAUGAUGCUCAUGGAAUUUACAAUUUCAAAAGAAAUUCAUGAAGCAUAUUUACAAGGAACAAACAUACGUGUACUCAUCCAUUCAAACCUUUCCUGAGCAUCUGCUAUGUUCUUGGCAUGCAGGGAAUGAAGAGGCAAAUCAGACCCGAUGUGUUGCCUGCUGUCAAGGAGAUGUCAUGACAGAAUCUAUGCGAUAUUUACAGUAAUACCAUGGGAGAAAUUAAUUGAUUUCUGGAGAGGGCAAGGGAGUGGAAUGAGAGAACAGAGCAG
rnacentral:lncRNA from 1 species